rnacentral:rRNA from 1 species
CCAACAGGGAUUGCCCUAGUAACGGCGAGUGAAGCGGCAACAGCUCAAAUUUGAAAUCUGGCGCAAGCCCGAGUUGUAAUUUGUAGAGGAUGCUUCUGGGUAGCGACCGAUCUAAGUUCCUUGGAACAGGACGUCAUAGAGGGUGAGAAUCCCGUAUGUGACCGGCCCGCACCCUUUACGUAGCUCCUUCGACGAGUCGAGUUGUUUGGGAAUGCAGCUCUAAAUGGGAGGUAAAUUUCUUCUAAAGCUAAAUACCGGCCAGAGACCGAUAGCGCACAAGUAGAGUGAUCGAAAGAUGAAAAGUACUUUGGAAAGAGAGUUAAAAAGCACGUGAAAUUGUUGAAAGGGAAGCGCCUAUAACCAGACUUCGCGGCAGUGUUCCGCCGGUCUUCUGACCGGUUCAUUCUCUGUCGCGAGGCCAUCAUCGUCUGGGCCCGCCGGAUAAGACCUUAGGAAUGUAGCUCACCUUCGGGGGAGUGUUAUAGCCUAUGGUGAUGCGGCGAGGCUCGGGCGAGGUCCGCGCUUCGGCAAGGAUGAUGGCGUAAUGGUUGUCGGCGGCCCGUCUUGAAACACGGACCAAGGAGUCUAACAUCUAUGCGAGUGUUCGGGUGUCAAACCCCUACGCGUAAUGAAAGUGAACGGAGGUGGGAACCGCAAGGUGCACCAUCGACCGAUCCUGAUGUCCUCGGAUGGAUUUGAGUAAGAGCAUAGCUGUUGGGACCCGAAAGAUGGUGAACUAUGCCUGAAUAGGGUGAAGCCAGAGGAAACUCUGGUGGAGGCUCGCAGCGGUUCUGACGUGCAAAUCGAUCGUCAAAUUUGGGUAUAGGGGCGAAAGA